rnacentral:lncRNA from 1 species
GUCAGUGGCGUAGCCAGGGUUGGAACGAUGUGGAUGCAAACUGUCGCCGAGCGGAACGAGGCGAAAAAUUUUUGGGACUUUUUGAUGAAGAAAAUUAAAUUUUUCCUGUAUGCAUGUCAGUGUAUUCCCCUAGAAUCCGACACUGGUUAGAUUUUCGUUUAAUUUCAAAAUACCCACCAGUAUACAUUAUAUUUCCAACAGAAUUU